rnacentral:rRNA from 1 species
AAUAUUGGACAAUGGGCGGAAGCCUGAUCCAGCCAUGCCGCGUGCAGGAAGACAGCCCUAUGGGUUGUAAACUGCUUUUAUACAGGAAGAAUAAGAGGUAUGUAUACCUCGAUGACGGUACUGUAAGAAUAAGGACCGGCUAACUCCGUGCCAGCAGCCGCGGUAAUACGGAGGGUCCGAGCGUUAUCCGGAAUCAUUGGGUUUAAAGGGUCCGCAGGCGGGCAAUUAAGUCAGGGGUGAAAUGGUGCGGCUCAACCGUAGCACUGCCCUUGAUACUGGUUGUCUUGAGUUAUGGUGGAGUGGCCGGAAUAUGUAGUGUAGCGGUGAAAUGCAUAGAUAUUACAUAGAACACCGAUCGCGAAGGCAGGUCACUAACCAUAUACUGACGCUGAUGGACGAAAGCGUGGGGAGCGAACAGGAUUAGAUACCCUGGUAGUCCACGCCGUA